GACGAACGCUGGCGGCGUGCUUAACACAUGCAAGUCGAACGGAAAGGCCCUGCUUUUGUGGGGUGCUCGAGUGGCGAACGGGUGAGUAACACGUGAGUAACCUGCCCUUGACUUUGGGAUAACUUCAGGAAACUGGGGCUAAUACCGGAUAGGAGCUCCUGCUGCAUGGUGGGGGUUGGAAAGUUUCGGCGGUUGGGGAUGGACUCGCGGCUUAUCAGCUUGUUGGUGGGGUAGUGGCUUACCAAGGCUUGGACGGGUAGCCGGCCUGAGAGGGUGACCGGCCACAUUGGGACUGAGAUACGGCCCAGACUCCUACGGGCGGCAGCAGUGGGGAAUAUUGCACAAUGGGCGGAAGCCUGAUGCAGCAACGCCGCGUGCGGGAUGACGGCCUGCGGGUUGUAAACCGCUUUCGCCUGUGACGAAGCGUGAGUGACGGUAAUGGGUAAAGAAGCACCGGCUAACUACGUG
rnacentral:rRNA from 1 species